AUUGAACGCUGGCGGCAUGCCUUACACAUGCAAGUCGAACGGCAGCACGGGAGCAAUCCUGGUGGCGAGUGGCGAACGGGUGAGUAAUAUAUCGGAACGUGCCCAGUAGUGGGGGAUAACUGCUCGAAAGAGCAGCUAAUACCGCAUACGACCUGAGGGUGAAAGGGGGGGAUCGCAAGACCUCUCGCUAUUGGAGCGGCCGAUAUCAGAUUAGCUAGUUAGUGGGGUAAAGGCCUACCAAGGCAACGAUCUGUAGUUGGUCUGAGAGGACGACCAGCCAGACUGGGACUGAGACACGGCCCAGACUCCUACGGGAGGCAGCAGUGGGGAAUUCUGGACAAUGGGCGCAAGCCUGAUCCAGCAAUGCCGCGUGCAGGAAGAAGGCCUUCGGGUUGUAAACUGCUUUUGUCAGGGAAGAAAUCCUCUAGGUUAAUACCCUUGGGGGGAUGACGGUACCUGAAGAAUAAGCACCGGCUAACUACGUGCCAGCCGCCGCCGUAAAAC
rnacentral:rRNA from 1 species